CGCCGCGCCGCACCCCCACCCCUCCCGGGGACGGGGGCGGAGAUUGGUCUCCCGUGCGCCCCGGCGCGCGGAUGGCCCAAAUGGGAUCCCUCGGCGACGCAUGCCAUGACAGUGGGUGGUUGAUCUACGUGGUGUCGUGCUAUGCAGUGUCGCCGGCUAGGGCACCCCGAUGGACCCAACGGCGCGUGUCGCCAGCACUC
rnacentral:misc_RNA from 1 species